GUCGAGCGGUAGCACAGAGAGCUUGCUCUCGGGUGACGAGCGGCGGACGGGUGAGUAAUGUCUGGGAAACUGCCUGAUGGAGGGGGAUAACUACUGGAAACGGUAGCUAAUACCGCAUAACGUCGCAAGACCAAAGAGGGGGACCUUCGGGCCUCUUGCCAUCAGAUGUGCCCAGAUGGGAUUAGCUAGUAGGUGGGGUAAUGGCUCACCUAGGCGACGAUCCCUAGCUGGUCUGAGAGGAUGACCAGCCACACUGGAACUGAGACACGGUCCAGACUCCUACGGGAGGCAGCAGUGGGGAAUAUUGCACAAUGGGCGCAAGCCUGAUGCAGCCAUGCCGCGUGUAUGAAGAAGGCCUUCGGGUUGUAAAGUACUUUCAGCGAGGAGGAAGGCAUUGUGGUUAAUAACCACAGUGAUUGACGUUACUCGCAGAAGAAGCACCGGCUAACUCCGUGCCAGCAGCCGCGGUAAUACGGAGGGUGCAAGCGUUAAUCGGAAUUACUGGGCGUAAAGCGCACGCAGGCGGUCUGUCAAGUCGGAUGUGAAAUCCCCGGGCUCAACCUGGGAACUGCAUUCGAAACUGGCAGGCUAGAGUCUUGUAGAGGGGGGUAGAAUUCCAGGUGUAGCGGUGAAAUGCGUAGAGAUCUGGAGGAAUACCGGUGGCGAAGGCGGCCCCCUG
rnacentral:rRNA from 1 species